AAAAUGAUAAAAAAUUUUAAUAAGUGUAAAAUACUUUAAAAUUUUAUUUAAAAAUAAUUUGUGUAGCUUUUUGAGAUGUAAAAUUACUAAUCAAACUUUUGUACUCAAGAUUCAUUAAAAUACUAUUUUCAAUCGAUAAUAUAGCUAAUCCAUUUAAUCUUUCUUAUGAAAUAGUUGACCGCAAAUAAGAUUUUAUCAACUUUAAUUUUGAAAAACUUCUUUCAGCAGAAACAACUAUUAAAGGUAUUGUUAACAAUAUCCUAUAAGCAACGCAUGCAUUUGGAAAAAAAACUAUUUUUUUAUAAAACUUAAAGUAUCAAUAGGGGUACUGGUUUCUGUUUGUAAAACUUCUUUUAAAACUUUCAAGAUUAAGACAACAAUUUUUCAAAUCUUUGUAAAACUUCUUUUAAAACUUUUCAUUCUGAAAAUAGAUCAAGACCAUCAAUAUCAGAAUAUUCACUAUGCUUUAAAAAAUUUUCAAGAUUAAGACAACAAUUUUUCAAAUCCUUUACAUUCAAAGAUUUUAACUGUUGACU
rnacentral:lncRNA from 1 species